rnacentral:lncRNA from 1 species
GAAUCUCGUUUUUAGUGAUGUGGUUACACACCUAGUUCUGUUUCUUGUAAAAGCACUUCUGAGCACUCCAAGACCUAUGAAAAGAUAAACCAACACCCAAGAAAUCUAUUAAUUCCAACCAUGGAAGACAUUCUUAUUAAGCCCCAAAUGUAUAACUUGAAAUACUAAGUCCAAUGCCGAUUCGGAAUCUUACCAAGAUGAAAACGACAAUCUUGCUAUCUCCACAUACUGUGAACCCGAUUAAAGUCUUCGAGUAGC